rnacentral:tRNA from 1 species
CAGAGGGUAGUUUAGUUUAGAAUUUUAGCUUUGGGAGUUAAAGGUGGGAGUUCAAAUCUCCUCUCUCUGA